GGGAGGGCACUGGAGUCGGGUCGGACGUGCCUGUCCCAGCCGGCGCCACCCGGCCCUCUGGGAGUUCUAGGAGAGCAGGGGAAAGAGUUGAAAAGAUCAACACGACUGCCACAAAGUUGCUGCUUGAUCCACACGGAAGACACACCCAGCAUUGAAGGACUGACUGGUUUGCGAAUGGCUCCGAGAAAAGCGAACCAAUUUUCCGGGCUCUCCUGUGAGUCCUGAAAGUGAGAUCUACCGAUUAAAAGAAAGAAAUAAAACUUCAUUCCACACAUGUGUUUUUGCUUGCGAGUGUGUGCGAGCGCAGUAUUUCUGUAUUCAGGUCUCUGUCCUUGUGAAUAAGAAUAUUCAGAUGCAGACUCUGGGCAGGUUGAAGUGUGCCUGGUUGCCAGUUGGCACGGAUGGAUUCUAGAUCAUCCUCACAUGGUUUGAAGUGGGUGAAAGAUGGUAUUCUCCUCUCUUCCUCAUGUCAGGACUGAGUGUGAUUGCUGCACUCGAUUCUGUUAAACACCUAAGAAGAAAAAGGAAAGCGCAUCCUAGAAAAAAGAAACAUUCUGUUCAUGGCCACUAUCUCAGCCCUGUUUCUUAGAGCUGCAAGCAGAGAGUUUGGUAAGAUGAAAGGACAGCCGCAGAUAAUGAUUAUGGAUGAUGGAUAGGACUGAAAACCGAUGCUGAACCUGCUACAAAGACAUGGAAAAUGGAUUUGAGCCUAUGUUCCAGUUUUGAAGGGCCAGUGUAUAUUCCCACAUAAUACACCAAAUAUUAAGGAACAUUACCCAACAUCAUCAAAACCUGUUUGCGAUGUUAGCUAACCUCUGAUUGUUAAAAGGGGAAAAAAGCAGCCAUUACUAUAAAAAAGACACGGUGCUACCCAAGAUCAAUAACCCAAUUUUGUCUGCUAUUAUAAUAACACAGAAGCAGCAGGUUGAUCCAUUUUAUCCAACACUGGUGUAGCCAGCAUCAAUUUUGACAAAGAAAUAGAGCAUUUUCACAGGAGGCUCACUGGUAUAGAUCUACACACACAAAUACGUGAACUUAUCAUUUCCCAAUAACUCCAGCCAGCCACCUCUGAUCAUUUCCUGCCUGGCCUUGUAAAGCGCUUAUGGUCUAGAACACAUACGUUACUAUAAUCUCAUAUGUAUCAUAAACUAUAGUAAGUACUGUAUUUCAUUGUUAUUUAAAUAUUUUGUGAAUCUGUCUUGGAACUUACUUUCUUGCUUAUCUUUUAAGCCCCACGGGAGUUCAGAAGGAGCACAUAUUCUGCUAUGGUUCUCAUUGCUGGUUAGUUUAACCAAACUUUAUGAAGAGUAUUCUAUAUAUAAGAUACUAGAAAUGCAAGUAUAAUCUGCCUUCUAGGAGCUUACCUUCUAGUGAUAGCAGUAACAACUGCCAUCUUUUGAGCACUUACUAUGUGGCAGACACAUUGCCUACAUCAUUAAUAAGCCCCCCAAAACCCACACAAAAUAUAUAUUGGUAUUUCUAUUUGGCAGAUAAGGAGCCAAAGUCUCAACUGGUAACUUUGCCAAGCUCGCACAGGCAUUUAGAGGGUAAGAGGUCUUUCUAUUUUAAGCAUAUGGUCUUCUGGUUAUUUACAUGACUUUCUUUCCCUCUAUAUGGCUUGGUCCAGAGGAGAAACCCAUUAAGUACUUAUUUAAUUAAAUAAAGUGGGGGAUGAAGAGCCUGGUAUGAGGCAUUAACAUUAAGGGAUCCUCCAAGCAUUAUUGAAUUCAUGGAGGGGUAUAUUUAAAUAAGAACUUCUCCAGUAUAGCAACACAUUGUUUUGUGGUUCACUAAUUACUAUUUUUUUUGUUGUUGGGAGAAUAUUGAACAAGUGGAACAGAGGACUGAAAGUUAUAAUGAGGGUUGCUUAUCCAUCCUUCCACCCAUGUUUUCAUUUAACAGAUAUUUAUUGAGCAUUGGGCGUUCCUUUGUUCCAGGUGUUAUGCUGGAAUAUAGGAAGAUUUGGAUAGACUAUUAAGAACAUAGAUGUUGGAUAGACUAUUAAGGACAAGAUAGAGGGGCGCCUGGCUGGCUGGGUUGGUUAAGAAUCUGCCUUCAGCUCAGGUGAUGAUCCCAGAGUCCUGGGAUGGAACUAUGCAUCCGACUCCCUGCUUAGCUUCUCCCUCUAUACCUCGCCCUGCUCUUGUGCUUUCUCUCUCUCUCUCUCAAAUAAAUAAAUAAAAUCUUUCUUUUAAAGAAAAAGAUAGAGCUAUUUUAUAGUUUGGGGGAGAAGAUAGGAGUUAAGCAAACUACCUCACAAGAAGUAGACUUUAUAAGAUAAAAUUCUAAUAAGUUCUAUGAAGAACUUAGAAAUACUGAGAACUAUAAGAACAAAUAAUAAAAGAAAGCUGAUCAUGUCUUGGGGGUCCACAAGAGUCAAACUGUGGAAGGAGUUAAGAUGUCCUUUAACAGAUGAAUGAAUAAAAAAGAUGUAGUUCACAUCUACAAUGGAAUAUUACGCAGCCAUCAGAAAGGAUGAAUACCUACCAUUUGCAUCAACAUGGAUGGAACUGGAGGAGAUCUGUCUAAGAGAAAUAAGUCUAGCAGAGAAAGACGAUUAUCAUACGGUUUCACUCAUAUGGAGUGGAACAUAAGGAAUAGCAUGGAGGACCACAGGGGAUGGGAAGGAAAACUGAAUGGGAAGAAAUCAGAGAGAGAGACAAACCACGAGAGACUCUGGAUUCUGGGAAAUAAAUUGAGGAUUACAGAAGCGGGGGCGGGCAGGAGGAUGACAACCAGGUGAUGGGUAUAAAGAAGGCACGAUUGUGCUGAGCAAUGGGUGUUAUACACAACUAAUGAAUCAUUGAACACUACAUCAAAAGUGAUGAUGUACUAUAUUUUGGCUAACUAAACAUAAUAAAAUAUAUAUAUUUUUUAAAAGGUGGCCUGAAAAAGUGACAUUUAAGCUGGAACUUGGAUGACGAAUAGAAGUUACCUAGAUGUAGAGAAGGGAAAUUGGUAUUCCAGGGUGAGGAAUCAUUCAUUCAUUCAUCAUCUUUUCUCGUGCAUACUGUAUACCCAACACAAUUCUAGAUGCUAGAGAUGCAGCAGUGAAGAAAAAAGACUAAAAUCCAUGUAUUUUUUGGAGGCUACUUUCUUGUUAAGGGAAGACAGGCAAUUCAUUAAUUAAGAAAGUAAUAAGGCAGGCAGUGCUAAAGAACUAAAUUUUUUGACAAUAUGUGCAAAAAUAUUGAGUGUGAAAUAUUAAGAUUUUAAAGAAGGCCAGGGUACAUGGUGUUUGGAGAAAGAAGAGGACAGUGCUGUCAGACUGCCUUUAAGGGUAGGCAGAGUUCUGAUCACAUAGAGUCCACAUGGGAGGCAAAGCAUCAUGUAUUUUAUCCAAAGAGCAAAUAAAAUCAAUCAGAAAUUAAAACAAAGGAUUUAGUCAUUAAUUUACAAUUCAAUAAAAAAUUAAUUUUAACCAAUUUAAUGUGUAGAAAUGCAUGUGUUGUGUAAAGCAUGAUACAUUUGAAUUAAAAAUAAUUCCCUUCCAUUAAUACAUAACCUCAAUAGGGAAAAGAUAACACUUAUAAGCAAGUAAACCAUCCAAAUAUAUAUUAGUGUUUAAUCCAGCAAUGGGAUAUAGAGAAUAAAUUUUUAAAUCAAUGAUGUAGAAGCUGAAAAUAACACAUUUAUCUUCAUACAAUACUCAUCCUACCAAUGUGGUUUCAUAAAGAGUUCUCAGCAUCUAGUGUAUUUUUCAUUUUCUAAUCUCAAUUGAUCUCAGUUAAUAAGGAGGCUGUUGUUCAAAAGACUGAUCUUGUUCAGGAUGAUUUACCAUGGUUAAGAUGGCAAAGGAAAUUGGAAAUUUAUAGAUCUGUUAAAAAGACCUAGAUGUCAGGCUAAUUGAUACAUUUUGGCCACUGCUUGAAAUUACAUCCAUUUUUAGAAUGCCAAAUGAAUUCUCUAAAGCAACAGAAGAAGAAUUACCCUUUAAACAUACUGCAGAAUCAUCAAAUAGUUAUUUAUUAAGCAGCUCAACAAGCAUGUACACAUUCUUUUCAUCAGCAGUUCCUUUUGUUUCUUAGAACCAAAUAUUCAUUGUACAUAAUAAUCCCAAUAAUGAGUACAAAAGUAGCCCUGAUUAAAAAAUAAUAAUUUUGCAAAAAUAACUUUUAUUGCCCUCAUUCAUAAUGAAGACAUAUGGUGCCUGUGACUCAGUUUUGCCUGCAUAGGUCUUUAUGCAUGUUUUCGCAUAUCUCUGCCUAUCCCUGAUCAGAAAGAAGUUACAGAAUCUAAGAGUUAUCAGAUUUGGCUGUAGAAUGUUUUCUAUACCAACCACUUAAUGAAUAUAACAUGAGAUGUAGCUCUCUACCUCACUGUCACCUUUAUUGCAUAAUCUACCCAAAGUUGAUUCUUACCUUCCUUUACCUCCAGAAUUUCCUUCUACCUGAGUGCAAUUACAUAAGAUAUUGUACCUCAUUGAGGAACACACAAGUUUCUAAUUCAGCUCCUUUCCUUCUCCAACAAUGAUGUCUUCCUUUCGCUCAGACCAAAAGCCCUGGAGUCAUUCUACACACUUCUCUUUCUCUCACCCCCAUCUAAUCCAUCAGCAAGCCCCGUGUGCUAAACUCCUACAGAAACCUGACCACUUGCCACCACCAACACUGCUACCGUCCUGCUCUCAGCCAAUCUCAUCUCUCAGCUAGAUAUCACAGACUUCCAACUGACCUCCCUGUGGUCAUCUUCACCUUGCAACUAUUUCCCUAUAAAGCAGCUAGAGUGAGCCUGGGUCAGACCGCCCCACCCCCAGCUGACUUCCCACCUCACUUCAGUAAAAAGUCAAGACUUUCAUAAGGUCUUCAAGUCCAUGUAGGCAGUGCUACUGACCCCUACUGUCACAUCUCCUCGACCUCCCUGCCCACUUAUUCAGCCGUUCUACCAGCCACCCCACACCUCACACAGUUUCUAGCCUUUGCACGGCUCUUCUGCCUCGAAACCUGUCCUGGAUACCCAUGUUGUUCAGUUCUUCACAUUCUGUAGGCCUUGACUUGUGUCUCGCCCUCUUGCUCCACCCUAUUUAAGGUUGCAUGCCUCUCCUCCCACCCUCCUACUCCUACAGGACUCCUACUCACUUUCCCAGCUUUAUUUUUCUCAUAGCACUUACCGCCCUCUAUCAUAUGCUGUUUCAGUUUUAUUAUUCUGCUUAGUUUCUGUGCCUCUCCCCACAAGAAUGCUCCACAUGAGAGCAGGGAUUUUUUUUUUAAUAUUUUAUUUAUUUAUUUGGCAGAUAGAGAUCAUAGGUAGGUGGGGGGGUGGGGAGCAGACUCCCCGCUGAGCAGAGAGCCUGAUGCGGGGCUCAAUCCCAACACCCUGAGAUCAUGACCCAAGCAGAAGGCAGAGGCUUAACCCACUGAGCCACCCAGGAGCCCCGAGAGCAGGGAUCUUUAUUGGCUUUUUUUACCAGUUUCUAGAACAGAUCCUGGCACCUCAAAGGCUUUAUAUCGAUAUUUGUUGAAUAAAUCAAUGAAGAAAUACAACAUAAGUGAUAAAAUAUUCAAAUGAUGGUAUAAAAUAUUAAAAUAUUGGGAAGCACAUUUUCUAGAUCCAGUAAUCUGUGUUAUCAUUCUGAUGCAGAAGAGAAACCUAUACUUUGAAGUUUUAAAUCUCUGAGGCCAGUAGGCAGAUGUACUCACAAAAUUUCUGGUGAUGUUAUUUGGGGCAAUGGAAAAAAACUUUGGACAGAUGUUGCACCUCGCACUUGAGAAGGAGAUAAUCACUUUCUCAUAUUUUCAAAAUGUAUUCUCUAGAAACUAAUUUACAUAUUAAAAUAUUUGAUUCCUUUUUGUUGGUGAGAAUUUCAAGGAGUAAACGUAUUAAUAGCCGUUAUUACACAUGAAAAAAAUAUUUUUAAAAGACUAUUUGAGAGAGAAAGAGGGAGAACAUGAGUGGGGGGAAGGGGCAGAGGAAGAGGGAAAGGCAGACUCCCCAGCAAACAUGAAGCUGGAUCCAGGGCCUCAAUCCCAGGACCCUGUGAUCAUGACCCUAGCUGAAGUUGGACACUUAACCAACUGAACCCCUCACGUGCCCCUACACAUAAAAAAAAAAUCUUAUAGUUAGCACCCUGCAGAUUAAUGUAGAGGGGUUUUCCCUUCCCCACUAUCUCUGCCUGAGGGGUAGAGGUAUUUAUUAAGAAAUGAUUCCCAGGGUGCCUGGGUGGCUCAGUUGGUUAAUGGUCUGACUCUUGGUCUCAGUUCUCAGGAUUGUGAGUUCAACCCCCAAGAUGGGCUCCAUGCUAGGUGUGGAGCCCACAGAAAGAAAACUAAAAUAAAAAAUAAAGGGCAAAAGAAAAAAAAAUGACUCCACAUCUGGGUCUGAGGGACAAAAAUGCUGAUGUGCCAAGCUUGGAAGUCCAGAUUUGUUUUGCGGGAAAAAUAAAGCUCCAUGAAUGUAAAAAAAAAAAAAAAAAAAAAGAAAGAAAAGAAAAAGAAAAAAGAAAGAAAGAAAAAAAAGAAAGAAAACUUUACAGCUAAUUAAUUACAUGUGAAUAUCCAGUUUGUGCCCAGACACAAUCUACGCCAUCAUUUCAAAAUAGUUUUAUGUAUGCUUAUCAGGACAACUAAAUUAUCUCUCUAAAAAGUAAUUACUUAUAAAAGUGUUACAAAGUUUCCUUCUGAAACAAACUGCUGCUAAAAAACAUGAUGCUUUCUAGGGGCACCUGGGUGGCUCAGUGGGUUAAAGCCUCUGCUUUCAGCUCAGGUUAUGGUCCUGGGGUCCUGGGAUGGAGUCCCACAUGGCGGGGGGGGGGGGGGAAGGGGUUCUCUGCUCAGCGGGGAGCCUGCUUCCCCCUCUCUCUCUGUCUGUCUCUCUGCCUACUUGUGAUCUCUCUCUCUCUCUCUCGAAUGGAUAAAUAAAAUCUUUAAAAAAAAAUAAAAAACAUGAUGUUUUCUAAGCACACCCAUGCACACUGGCUGCUGUAAUAAUAGUGGUCAUGGUAGUCUUGAUGAUGGGGUUUUCGUUGCUUCACAUCUUUCUUCAAUUCUGCUGAUUAAGCCCUAAGCAUUAUAAAUGCCCUUUUACAGAAUGCUCUUACUCAUUCUUCACUAUCUUGUUGCCUUCCCUACUUUUUUUUUUUUUUUAAAGAUUUAUCUAUUUAUUUGAGAGAGAGAAAGAGAGAACAGGUGAAUGGGGGAAGAAGGUUUCAGGGAUUAGAAUGCGGACAACUUUAUGGGACCAUUAUUUUACCUACUCCAAGAUACAUUCUCAUACUUCCUAGAACUGAAACAUGGUAAGGCCUCAAAAAAUAUGUCUAUUGAAUUAGUGAAUGAACAAAUCAACAUUGACCUACAACCCCUUCCCCCUCCAAAACCAUUUUAUUUAUUUAUUUACUUAUUUAUAUUUAGAUUCAGUUAGCUAACAUCAUUGCCUGAAACCUGUAACUGUUUCUUUAUAUGUCAAAAGGGGCUUUGCAGAUGUGAUUGAGUUAAGGCUCUUGAGAUGGGCCUGAAAUAUCCAGGUGGGCCCAAUGUAACCACAAGGCUUCUUUUUUUUUUUUUUUUAUUUGACAGACAGAGAUCACAAGCAGUCAGAGAGGCAGAGAAAGGAGGAAGCAGGCUCCCCGCUGAGCAGAGAGCCCGAUGUAGGGCUCGAUGCGAGGCUCGAUGAGGGGCUCUUUGCGGAGCUCGAUGUGGGGCUCAUUGCCGGGCGCGAUGGGGGGCUCGAUCCCAGGAUCCUGGGAUCAUGACCUGAGCCGAAGGCAGAGGCUUUAAUCCACUGAGCCACCCAGGCGCCCCCACCACAAGGCUUCUUAAGAGGGGAAGGCAGAAGGGUCAGAGUAAGAGAAGGAGGUUGGUGGAAACAGGGAAGCAUGGAGAAGGCCAGGAGCACAAAUAUUCAAGGAUUUCAUUUUGUCCUCCUUGAAGAUGGAGGAAGUGGUUGUCAUUGAGCCAUGGAACACAGGUAGUUUUUAAAGCUGAAAAAGACAAGAAAUUUGAACUUUCAGAAGGAAUACAGCCAUGCCAUCACAUGGGUUUUAAGACUUCUGACCUCCAGUAAGGUACUAUUAAAAAACUUACGGUGGGGCACCUGGGUGGCUCAGUGGGUUAAAGCCUCUGCCUUCAGCUCAGGUCAUGAUCUCAGUGUUCUAGGAUGGAGCCCCACAUCCUCAUAGGGCUCUCUGCUCAGCAGGAAGCCUGCUUCCCUUCCUCUCUCUCUGCCUACUUGUGGUCUCUGUCAAAUAAAUAAAUCUUAAAAAAAAAAAAAAAGUCUUAAAAAAGAAACAAGCUGACGGUGUUUAAAGUUAUUUGUUGCACCAACAAUGGGAAACUGAGGGGGCCAGAUUUUAAAAGCCUCUUUUGAGAGCUGAAAGGUGAGGAAAUAGCCAAGUAAAUUUGGGGAAUGGAGAAAGAAUUCCUCACUAAGAGAUUAGUUUAUGAGAUUCACCAGGAAGAGAGCUGGUCAGUAUAAUCAAUUAAGUCAGUGAGGAGAUGAAAAGGGAGAGCAGUUUCUUGAUGGAGGCAAGGAGGCAGGAGUUGAAUAAUUUUUAUAAGGCAUUCUAUGAA